rnacentral:rRNA from 1 species
CUUCCCAUGGGCGAAGCCUGAUGGAGCCUGCCGCGUGAGUGAAGAAGGUUUUCGGAUCGUAAAACUCUGUUGUUGAAGAAGAACAUGCGUGAAAGUAACUGUUCUCGUACUGACGGUAUUCAACCAGAAAGCCCCGGCUAACUACGUGCCAGCAGCCGCGGUAAUA